AGUCAUAUGCUUGUCUCAAAGAUUAAUCCAUGCAUGUGUAAGUAUAAGUAUUGUACAGCGAAACUGCGAAUGGCUCAUUACAUCAGUUAUUAUUUAUUUGAUAAUCGAAAGUUACAUGGAUAACCGUGACAAAUUACAGCUAAUACAUGCAUUCAGACCUGGUCCAAGGGUCGUAAUUAUUAGUAUUAAACCAUUUCCGAAAGGAGUGUGAUGAAUCAUAAUAAUCGAACGAAUCGCCUGGUGUGCGAUAAAUCAUUCAAGUUUCUGCCCUAUCAGCUUUGGAUGGUAGUGUAUUGGACUACCAUGGCAGUCACGGGUAACGGAGAAUUAGGGUUCGAUUCCGGAGAGGGAGCCUGAGAAACGGCUACCACAUCUACGGAAGGCAGCAGGAGCGAAAAUUGCCCAAUCCCGACACGGGGAGGCAGUGACAAGAAAUAACAACUCUAGGUUAUUCUUAGAAGUGUAAUGAGGAUAAUUUACAACCCUUACCGAAAGCAAUUGGAGGGCAAGUCUGGUGCCAGCAGCCGCGGUAAUUCCAGCUCCAAUAGCGUAUAUUAAAGUUGUUGCAGUUAAAAAGCUCGUAGUUGAAGUUCUGGCUGCUCGAUCCUCGAGCUCUGUAGCCGAGGAAUCGACAGUCAUCCGCUUGCAAAUAUAUGUUCGUCUUUAACCGGACGGCUAUAUGAGUAAGCAUUUUACCUUGAGAAAAACAGAGUGUUCCAGGCAGGUUUGUCCGGAAUGCAUUAGCAUGGAAUAAUAGAAUAUGACUGAAGUCUAUUUAUUGGUUUAAGGCUUUAGUAAUGAUUAAUAGGAACAGUCGGGGGCAUUGGUACUUGUCAGUCAGAGGUGAAAUUCUAGGAUUUGACAAAGACUAACAAAUGCGAAAGCAUUUGCCAAGGAUGUUUUCAUUAAUCAAGAACGAAAGUUAGGGGAUCAAAGACGAUCAGAUACCGUCCUAGUCUUAACUAUAAACUAUACCGACUCGGAUUCAGAUGAAUCAAAAAGUUCAUUUGGGACCGUAGGAGAAAUCAAAGUUUUUGGGUUCUGGGGGAAGUAUGGUCGCAAGGCUGAAACUUAAAGGAAUUGACGGUUUUGCACCACCAUGGAGUGGAGUCUGCGGCUUAAUUUGACAACACUGGGAAACUCAUCAGGGCAAGAAGAUUUUAGGAUUGACAGAUUGAGAGUUCUUUCUUGAUUGGUCUAGUGGUGGUGCAUGGCCGUUCUUAGUUGGUGGAGUGAUUUGUCUGGUUAAUUCCGUUAACGAACGAGACCUUAACCUGCUAACUAGUACAUCGAUGACAAAUCGGUGUUACUUCUUAGAGGGACUAUGUGAUGUAAUCACAUGGAAGUUUGAGGCAAUAACAGGUCUGUGAUGCCCUUAGAUGUCCUGAGCUGCACGCGUACUACAAUGGUGCUUUCAACGAGCUUUUCCUGAUCCGAAAGGAUUUGGGUAAUCUUUUUAGUGAGCACCGUGCUUGGGAUUGAUCUUUGUAAUUAUGGAUCAUGAACUAGGAAUUCCUAGUAAGCGCUGGUCAUCAGCCAGUGCUGAUUACGUCCCUGCAAAAUGUACACACCG
rnacentral:rRNA from 1 species